rnacentral:rRNA from 1 species
UACGUAGGGGGCAAGCGUUGUCCGGAUUUAUUGGGCGUAAAGAGCGUGUAGGCGGCCUGAAAGGUCAGCUGUGAAAACUCGAGGCUCAACCUCGAGACGUCGGUUGAAACCAUCUGGCUGGAGUCCGGAAGAGGAGUGUGGAAUUCCCGGUGUAGCGGUGAAAUGCGCAGAUAUCGGGAAGAACACCCGUGGCGAAGGCGGCACUCUGGGACGGUACUGACGCUGAGACGCGAAAGCGUGGGGAGCGAACAGG